rnacentral:rRNA from 1 species
AUGACGUCAAGUCAGCAUGGCCCUUACGUCCGGGGCUACACACGUACUACAAUGGCCGAUACAAAGGGCAGCGACACUGCGAGGUGAAGCCAAUCCCGUAAAAUCGGUCUCAGUCCGGAUUGGAGUCUGCAACUCGACUCCAUGAAGUUGGAAUCGCUAGUAAUCGUGGAUCAGCAUGCCACGGUGAAUACGUUCCCGGGCCUU